GUUGUAUGCAGCAUUCCAAACAUUACUGUGCAGUCAGCACCAUUCCAAAGAGCAGCAGCAGCAGCAGCAGCAAGUGCAAGGGCAGGCUCUUGCCAUCAUGAUUCAUGCUGACUAUGAAGGCAUAGAGAUUAAGGCCUGAAAGCACCACUAGAUCAUCUACUGUGACCUCCUGUAUAUCCCUGGCAACCAACACCACCCAGCACCUGCGCAUUAAAGUGAAUAACAAAAUGAGACCAAAGUAUUACAGCCCACAAGAGACUAGGCUGGUUUGUGCCACAGGCAGAGAAUAGAUAAGACCUAGAUGCACCAGCAUUCAAGAACCCUGCAAUGUCAGGGAAAUGCGUAAGUGAGAAAUACACAGUUAAUCCUCGUAACUGACUGCACCCACACACUGCAAAUGAAGGUCUCUCAGGAAGGAGAACUUUGUAGCAGGACCUGUGUUCCAUCCAGCAGAUAUUUUACUUCAAGCGGUGAACAAUAGCAUAUUUAGCCACAUAUUAGCAUACAAAGGAGGAUGUCUCCACUGUCAGCUGAAUUUAUACACUCUAGCACAAGGAUGUUCCCUAGAUAUUGUAUUUUAACAGCAUGAAUGUCGGAAUAGCAUAUUAAUAAAGCAUUGCAUGAUC